UAGGGAAUCUUCCGCAAUGGACGCAAGUCUGACGGAGCAACGCCGCGUGAGUGAAGAAGGAUUUCGGUUCGUAAAACUCUGUUGUUAGAGAAGAACAGCGCAUAGAGUAACUGUUAUGCGUGUGACGGUAUCUAACCAGAAAGCCACGGCUAACUACGUGCCAGCAGCCGCGGUAAUACGUAGGUGGCAAGCGUUGUCCGGAUUUAUUGGGCGUAAAGCUAGCGCAGGCGGUCAAUUAAGUCUGAUGUGAAAGCCCCCGGCUCAACCGGGGAGGGUCAUUGGAAACUGGUUGACUUGAGUGCAGAAGAUGAGAGUGGAAUUCCAUGUGUAGCGGUGAAAUGCGUAGAUAUAUGGAGGAACACCAGUGGCGAAGGCUACUCUCUGGUCUGUAACUGACGCUGAGGCUCGAAAGCGUGGGUAGCAAACAGG
rnacentral:rRNA from 1 species